UAAUAGCUCACUGGUCGAGUCGGCCUGCGCGGAAGAUGUAACGGGGCUAAACCAUGCACCGAAGCUGCGGCAGCGACACUGUGUGUUGUUGGGUAGGGGAGCGUUCUGUAAGCCUGUGAAGGUGUGCUGUGAGGCAUGCUGGAGGUAUCAGAAGUGCGAAUGCUGACAUAAGUAACGAUAAAGCGGGUGAAAAGCCCGCUCGCCGGAAGACCAAGGGUUCCUGUCCAACGUUAAUCGGGGCAGGGUGAGUCGACCCCUAAGGCGAGGCCGAAAGGCGUAGUCGAUGGGAAACAGGUUAAUAUUCCUGUACUUGGUGUUACUGCGAAGGGGGGACGGAGAAGGCUAUGUUGGCCGGGCGACGGUUGUCCCGGUUUAAGCGUGUAGGCUGGUUUUCCAGGCAAAUCCGGAAAAUCAAGGCUGAGGCGUGAUGACGAGGCACUACGGUGCUGAAGCAACAAAUGCCCUGCUUCCAGGAAAAGCCUCUAAGCAUCAGGUAACAUCAAAUCGUACCCCAAACCGACACAGGUGGUCAGGUAGAGAAUACCAAGGCGCUUGAGAGAACUCGGGUGAAGGAACUAGGCAAAAUGGUGCCGUAACUUCGGGAGAAGGCACGCUGAUAUGUAGGUGAAGUCCCUCGCGGAUGGAGCUGAAAUCAGUCGAAGAUACCAGCUGGCUGCAACUGUUUAUUAAAAACACAGCACUGUGCAAACACGAAAGUGGACGUAUACGGUGUGACGCCUGCCCGGUGCCGGAAGGUUAAUUGAUGGGGUCAGCGCAAGCGAAGCUCUUGAUCGAAGCCCCGGUAAACGGCGGCCGUAACUAUAACGGUCCUAAGGUAGCGAAAUUCCUUGUCGGGUAAGUUCCGACCUGCACGAAUGGCGUAAUGAUGGCCAGGCUGUCUCCACCCGAGACUCAGUGAAAUUGAACUCGCUGUGAAGAUGCAGUGUACCCGCGGCAAGACGGAAAGACCCCGUGAACCUUUACUAUAGCUUGACACUGAACAUUGAGCCUUGAUGUGUAGGAUAGGUGGGAGGCUUUGAAGUGUGGACGCCAGUCUGCAUGGAGCCGACCUUGAAAUACCACCCUUUAAUGUUUGAUGUUCUAACGUGGACCCGUGAUCCGGGUUGCGGACAGUGUCUGGUGGGUAGUUUGACUGGGGCGGUCUCCUCCUAAAGAGUAACGGAGGAGCACGAAGGUUGGCUAAUCCUGGUCGGACAUCAGGAGGUUAGUGCAAUGGCAUAAGCCAGCUUGACUGCGAGCGUGACGGCGCGAGCAGGUGCGAAAGCAGGUCAUAGUGAUCCGGUGGUUCUGAAUGGAAGGGCCAUCGCUCAACGGAUAAAAGGUACUCCGGGGAUAACAGGCUGAUACCGCCCAAGAGUUCAUAUCGACGGCGGUGUUUGGCACCUCGAUGUCGGCUCAUCACAUCCUGGGGCUGAAGUAGGUCCCAAGGGUAUGGCUGUUCGCCAUUUAAAGUGGUACGCGAGCUGGGUUUAGAACGUCGUGAGACAGUUCGGUCCCUAUCUGCCGUGGGCGCUGGAGAACUGAGGGGGGCUGCUCCUAGUACGAGAGGACCGGAGUGGACGCAUCACUGGUGUUCGGGUUGUCAUGCCAAUGGCACUGCCCGGUAGCUAAAUGCGGAAGAGAUAAGUGCUGAAAGCAUCUAAGCACGAAACUUGCCCCGAGAUGAGUUCUCCCUGACCCUUUAAGGGUCCUGAAGGAACGUUGAAGACGACGACGUUGAUAGGCCGGGUGUGUAAGCGCAGCGAUGCGUUGAGCUAACCGGUACUAAUGAACCGUGAGGCUUAACCUUACAACGCCGAAGGUGUUU
rnacentral:rRNA from 1 species